rnacentral:lncRNA from 1 species
AAAAAAUAUUUAAAAAAUAUAACCUGGAAAUAAGUCUCAAUGGUGUCUGCUUUUAAUACAUGAAGUCCUGAAUUCAGUUCCCAUAGCCACAUUGAAAAGAAAGAAAAGUGUCUGCAUGAAGUGACCUUGAAGUGACCUUUUAGACAGCAGGUGUCAGGCACAGUGAGGGCUUCAUUGUUCACAAUUAGGUCAUUAUUCUCUAUAACAAGUCCAUAUCUACUUUCUUUGGCCAUAUAUAAGUGGUAGCACCACUUGCCUAUCAGCUACUAUACAAGAAACAAGUAUCAUCUUAGCAGGUUAAAUCCAAACUGUUCUUGCUGGGUGAAUAUGCCCCAGAAAGUGGGUACUCACUGGGAUUAUGGACUUCACUGGCUGACAAGCCCUGUGCCCUGAGCACUUGAAAGGCAGUCGGAUUAUAUUUAUUAAAUCCUAUCAAAGACCUUCAGUCUGAAAUCUUAAAAGAGCAAUAGACUUUCAGACCCAAUUUUUUUUUUCAGAGUAGCAUAUUUUAAAGGACUUUUCUUUUAAUGACUAAUAAAAAUAAAGCUUCUAUUUUCCAGGUAGGGCAAAGUGAGGUAGCUUCGUGGUCUCUAUAAAUAUUAUUUUGAGGCUCCCAGUGGUUUUCUAAGAGAACAGAAAAGUCUUUUAUGAAAUUAAUCAAAUAUCCAAACCUGCUUUGAAGAAGAGUCCCACUGUACAGUUCACCUCAUAAAAACAAAAUCUUUGUUUUUGUGGUCUCAUGGACUUUAAGCCAAUGCCACUAAGCAUGGUGGCACUAAUAUUCUUGGCCCAAAGAAUAUUAGGAAGUGGUAUCUGUUAAAGACAGAUGAAAUUAGUUAUUUAAAAAGGGCAAACUUUAUCAAAUACAGUUCUCCAGUGUCUUUGCAUCUAACUCAUUCAAAUAUAUGUUUGCAAAUGCCAGUCCUUUGUCCCAUUUUUUUUCAGGCUUUUGAUUUUUUCAUAUUUAAUUUUUUUUUUUGGCUCCAUGCUUGCAUCCCAGAAUCUUUUUAAAUUUGGUUGCUGACAUUUUGGCAAUGUGAUGGUUAAUCUCCGUUGUUAAAGUGACUGGAUUUAGAAUCCCCAUGGAAACGUACCUCUGCUCAUAUCUAGGAGGGGUGAUUCCAGCCCCUUGGUUUAACUGAGAAGGAAGAUCCACCUUGAAUGUCAAUGACACCAUCCCAUGGGCUGGUCUCAGACUGAAAAAAAGAUAGAAAGGAAAGAAAGAAAGAGCCAGCUGAGCUCCAUUCAGGACUUUGCCUCCUGACUAUGCUCACAAAAAGAAAAGCCACCUCUCACUCCUAUCUCCAUGCCUUCCCAGGGUGUAUCCUUUCUUAAAUAAUAAGCUAAAAUAAAACAUUUCUUUUCUUAAAUUGCUUUGUCAGGUAUUUGGUUACAGCAAUGAGGAAGGUAGGAUAGUGGGAUGCAGGAUCUAAAGUGAGUUUGUUGCCAUAGCGUCUGCUAAGAUGUGUAUAUGUCUGAUGCAGGUAAUAGAGAUAGAAGGAGCUUUCACAUUUCUCAGGAGAACACUGACUAUUUUAAUGUUACAUGUGUAGGCAGCCACCCUGCUCGCUCUUACCUAUGUUCCCACACCCAAGUCAUGCAGGAGCAGAGAUCCAUAUUUAGUUGAUAGCUGAUAUUAUGAAAACUUUAGCCUGUCAAAGGUUCGUAAACCUUUUUUUUUCUCAAUGUGGUAUGUUAUGAAGACAAAUGAAGAUUAGAAAGCAUUUUCCUAAAUAAACUGAUAAGCACAGUUUAUAAUGUUGAAUUAUUAUUUUCCUGUGUAUGGCCUACCAUGUGUAUGUGCCUCUGCUUUGGACUGGGAGCUCAAUGUAGAUAUGGUUUCUGUUCUCAGGGACUUACAUGGACUUGUGUGGAAAAUGAACCUAGAUUCUUAAAUGGCCAUGAAUUAAAUAUCUGUAUCUGGCAAGAGAAUAGAUAUGACUUUUGCAGUGCGACAAGCAAAAUGCUAAGAGAACUCAAAUCAAAAAUCCACUAGAAACUAAAGAAUGCUUUUCUUACCAAAGGAAAACAGCAUAUAUAUAAAAUACAAAGUAUCUUGACUAAUUGACCUAGAAAUCUGGUCAUACCAAAUGAAAAUGCUUCUGUAUUUAUAUAAUUUUAUUUCUAAAAGGGGAAACUUAGCUUCAUGCCUUUUCUCCCUGCCUCCUCCCACUAAUUUCUUGGAGUGUGAAAAAUGAGUUCGUAACCUUUUCAUACUAUCUGUCUUGUAGUCCGAUCUGGUGUUGAUCCAGUAGGUGGUGAAAAUUCUAACUGCCUCCCAACAUCAGGUAGACUGAAGCCAUGGAGGCGGCAGCGGGCGGGUGUGGGCACUGGUCAGCCACAGGGUACAUAGUGUGCUGCCAUCCACAGGAGGUUAUAGAAUGUUCUCAUUUUUUGUAAGUGUUGACUUGAGAGUUGGCUUUUCAACAGAGGCAUGCUCUCUCUAUAGCAAUGUGUGGAUAAUCUGACAGGAUGCCCUAUUCAUUCUACACUGGAGCUUUCCUAAUUGAGUCAUUCUGAGGCUCUUAUGGCUUCUUGUAUUAAAUUUUCAAUCUGUUGAUGAAGUGUUUUAUCUUUGGAGUCUGAUAGCAUCUUGGAAUCACACCUGUAUUUGGGAAGACAAAUACCAAAAAUUAUCCAUGUAGAAUGUAAUAUUAAAAUGUCUUGCACCUUGCAAGAGAAGAUUCCAUUACUAUAGCAUAUUUUAUUAUUGUGAAAAUACCUGCUGCCCUUCCUACCCUAUACUUCCAUGUUUAGCUUCUGCUGUCAGAAGACCCUUCCAUGUCAUCGUUGCAAGGUUCAAAUGUGGCUUGCUUUGAACAGUGAAGCAUAGAAGCUGAAGUGUAAUCAAUGUCUACCACAACCUUCAGUGAGCUGAGUAGGUCUUUCCCAGAAACUCCUAGGUAUUCAGUCAGACUCUAAAGCGAAGAGCAAAGCUCCCUACAUCAGGGAUUGUGUAAGCAAGACAUGAGCAUGUAGUGGAUUGAAGAUAGAGCUGAGUAUAGAAUGUUCGCUAGCAUGUGUGAGACUCUGAGCUCAAUUGCCAGU